CUGAAGGGACGGUAGUGCCCACUGCUUUCAGGGUAGCUGUGAGGAUGGUAGAACGGUGACGUACACUUCAUUUAUGCUGUAGGUCACUUGUUUCACUAUCCACCACUAUCCCCAGAUCAUCUG
ensembl:miRNA